rnacentral:rRNA from 1 species
UACGUAGGGUGCAAGCGUUAAUCGGAAUUACUGGGCGUAAAGGGUGCGCAGGCGGAUAAUCAAGUUAGAUGUGAAAGCCCCGGGCUUAACCUGGGAACUGCAUUUAAAAACUGAUUGUCUAGAGUUAAUCAGAGGGGGGGUGGAAUUCCACAUGUAGCAGUGAAAUGCGUAGAUAUGUGGAGGAACACCGAAGGCGAAGGCAGCCCCCUGGGAUAUAACUGACGCUCAGGCACGAAAGCGUGGGUAGCAAACAGG